CAUGACAGCAGCUAAACUAUGCAGCAAUCCACUCUUGACCUUUAUAAGUUACCAUCAGACUAAAUGGGAGCCCACCUCUACAGGCAAUAUUAAUUUUACAAAGGCUUUCUGUAUUUGUGUUUAGAGUUCCACAGCAUCUUAAAGUUUCUGGAGAAAAGUCUUGAAAAAUACUGACUGGACUGGUUUUUGAAGGAAAUGUUCAGCAAUUCACAGAUUGAUUGAUUUUGCUGUUUAUUGUGUUUUCCAUCACUGAUAAUCUAACAGAAGCUCAGAGUUUUUGGGAUACACUGCUAUCUUUUGAGGGGUGUGGGGUAGGAACACCUACAACAACCAGGAAGAGAGCGUCCCAGUACUUCCUCGCUACAGGUUGUCAGCGUCAAUAAUUGCUCCCAAGCCCAGAAAAGGGUUGCAAGAAUGAAGUCAGAUGAGAAUGCCCCAAUGGAAUUGCCUUAGAAUUGCUGCAUGUUAUCUUUACAUGAUGUGAUGAGCUGCCGUUUGCCUGUCUUCCACAAGCUUCUCACAUG